rnacentral:tRNA from 1 species
GGCAUAGCUCAGCGGUGGAGCGGGUGCUUAGCAUGCAUGAGGUCCUAGGUUCAAUCCCCAGUACUGCCA